AGUCCAAUUGUUGUCCCCAUCACAUUGAGUGUGGUUAACAUGAAAGGCCGAAACCACCUUAGGGAGGAAAGCCGGAUGUGGUCAUAACUGCACCUUGCCUUUGGGAACAUACAUUAGAGCUCUGAUCUCAG